rnacentral:lncRNA from 1 species
AUGAUCCCGACGCUGCUCGCAGUCCCGGUACUGUUCUCUAUCUUGUUACCGGUUGCACUCGUGGCACUAUUUGGGGCCCCGUUCGCCGGCCCGGUACUCUCAUACCGCUCACGGAACCGCACCUCUCGCAGCCGCUCCUGGUGUCAAGCUUCGAGGUGCCGGUCGCAGGUCCCAGUCUUGUUCCCGGUACCGCUCUCCAGUGCAGCGUACAGACUACCCAGGGAUAGAGACCAUUCUCAGGGGUUUUCAGCUCCUCGGCCGUCUCGCCAUGCAUCUGUGUCAUCCCAUGCGGAUAGUGCUUCCUAUGCACAGGACCGUGACUUAGACGUACCCAGCCGUGUCUUCCAAGAGACCCAGGCUCAAGACCAAGGACCUCAUCAAUGGUCCUUCUGGACACCUUGGGCAUAUCACCAAGCCCAAGGUGGACCUCCAGUGCUAUCACGCUCCGUACCGUCGGAGCACUGGGUGCCGAGGCUACUGUUAGCCGCCCCCCUCCUGCGGGUACAGAGGACGCUCCCAUUCAGGCACCAGACUCUUAGGUCCCACCGGAGCUGGAUGUCGCUCAAGUCCACGAGACAACAGAGGACCCGAUUGUCCCUGGCCUUUACUUUACUUUACUCUUCCUAUUCUCCAGAUGAAGCGGUGGCAGGGACAUACUCCUCAGGCCUUCCUCCAAUUGGCCUAAGGUCACAUCAAGACCUCCUGAGACGGGUGGCCCCGAAUAUGAACCUCCAGGUGGAGGAAGUUCCGGAGAUAGAGGACCCAGUGGUAGAUAUUUUGUCGGCUGACACUCCCACAAGGGUGGCCUUACCGUUUAUUCGGACAAUCCAAGCGAAGGCUGAUACCAUCUGGCAGUCUCCAGCACCUAUCCUGCCCACGGCUAGGGGAGUUGAGAGGAAGUACAUGGUGCCCUCUAAGGGGUACGAGUACCUGUACGUACACCCUGCUCCCUUGUCAUCCAAUCGGUUAAUGGAAGGGAGUGCCAUGGCCAGCAAGCCCCUGUCCCAAAAGCAAAGGGGGCUAGGCGCAUGGAUUUAUUGGGAUGUAAAAUGUACUCUGUGGGGGGGGCCUCCAACUCAGGGUGGCAAACCAACAAGCCCUGCUUAG